rnacentral:rRNA from 1 species
GGUUAAGUGACUAAGCGUACACGGUGGAUGCCUAGGCAGUCAGAGGCGAUGAAGGGCGUGCUAAUCUGCGAAAAGCGUCGGUAAGGUGAUAUGAACCGUUACAACCGGCGAUACCCGAAUGGGGAAACCCAGUGUGUUUCGACACACUAUCAUGUCAUGAAUACAUAGUGGCAUGAGGCGAACCGGGGGAACUGAAACAUCUAAGUACCCCGAGGAAAAGAAAUCAACCGAGAUUCCCCCAGUAGCGGCGAGCGAACGGGGAGGAGCCCAGAACCUGAAUCGGCUUGUGUGUUAGUGGAAGCGUCUGGAAAGUCGCGCAGCAAAGGGUGAUAGCCCCGUACACUAAAAUGCACAGGUCGUGAGUUCGAUGAGUAGGGCGGGACACGUGACAUCCUGUCUGAAUAUGGGGGGACCAUCCUCCAAGGCUAAAUACUCCUGACUGACCGAUAGUGAACCAGUACCGUGAGGGAAAGGCGAAAAGAACCCCGGCGAGGGGAGUGAAAUAGAACCUGAAACCGUGUACGUACAAGCAGUGGGAGCACCUUCGUGGUGUGACUGCGUACCUUUUGUAUAAUGGGUCAGCGACUUAUAUUUUGUAGCAAGGUUAACCGUAUAGGGGAGCCGUAGGGAAACCGAGUCUUAACUGGGCGAAUAGUUGCAAGGUAUAGACCCGAAACCCGGUGAUCUAGCCAUGGGCAGGUUGAAGGUUGGGUAACACUAACUGGAGGACCGAACCGACUAAUGUUGAAAAAUUAGCGGAUGACUUGUGGCUGGGGGUGAAAGGCCAAUCAAACCGGGAGAUAGCUGGUUCUCCCCGAAAGCUAUUUAGGUAGCGCCUCGUGAACUCAUCUUCGGGGGUAGAGCACUGUUUCGGCUAGGGGGCCAUCCCGGCUUACCAAACCGAUGCAAACUCCGAAUACCGAAGAAUGUUAUCACGGGAGACACACGGCGGGUGCUAACGUCCGUCGUGAAGAGGGAAACAACCCAGACCGCCAGCUAAGGUCCCAAAGUCAUGGUUAAGUGGGAAACGAUGUGGGAAGGCAUAGACAGCCAGGAUGUUGGCUUAGAAGCAGCCAUCAUUUAAAGAAAGCGUAAUAGCUCACUGGUCGAGUCGGCCUGCGCGGAAGAUGUAACGGGGCUAAACCAUGCACCGAAGCUGCGGCAGCGACGCUUAGGCGUUGUUGGGUAGGGGAGCGUUCUGUAAGCCGUUGAAGGUGGCCUGUGAGGGUUGCUGGAGGUAUCAGAAGUGCGAAUGCUGACAUAAGUAACGAUAAAGCGGGUGAAAAGCCCGCUCGCCGGAAGACCAAGGGUUCCUGUCCAACGUUAAUCGGGGCAGGGUGAGUCGACCCCUAAGGCGAGGCUGAAAAGCGUAGUCGAUGGGAAACAGGUUAAUAUUCCUGUACUUGGUGUUACUGCGAAGGGGGGACGGAGAAGGCUAGGCUAGCCGGGCGACGGUUGUCCCGGUUUAAGCGUGUAGGGGGUGUGACCUGGUAAAUCCGGUUGCAUAUCAACCCUGAGGCGUGAUGACGAUGCACUACGGUGCAGAAGUAGUUGAUGCCCUGCUUCCAGGAAAAGCCUCUAAGCUCCAGGUAACAUUAAAUCGUACCCCAAACCGACACAGGUGGUCAGGUAGAGAAUACCAAGGCGCUUGAGAGAACUCGGGUGAAGGAACUAGGCAAAAUGGUGCCGUAACUUCGGGAGAAGGCACGCUGGCAUGUAGGUGAAGUCCCUUGCGGAUGGAGCUGAAGCCAGUCGAAGAUACCAGCUGGCUGCAACUGUUUAAUAAAAACACAGCACUGUGCAAACACGAAAGUGGACGUAUACGGUGUGACGCCUGCCCGGUGCUGGAAGGUUAAUUGAUGGGGUCAGCCGCAAGGCGAAGCUCUUGAUCGAAGCCCCAGUAAACGGCGGCCGUAACUAUAACGGUCCUAAGGUAGCGAAAUUCCUUGUCGGGUAAGUUCCGACCUGCACGAAUGGCGUAAUGAUGGCCAGGCUGUCUCCACCCGAGACUCAGUGAAAUUGAACUCGCUGUGAAGAUGCAGUGUACCCGCGGCAAGACGGAAAGACCCCGUGAACCUUUACUAUAGCUUGACACUGAACAUUGAGCCUUGAUGUGUAGGAUAGGUGGGAGGCUUUGAAGCGUGGACGCCAGUCUGCGUGGAGCCAUCCUUGAAAUACCACCCUUUAAUGUUUGAUGUUCUAACUCGGCCCCAUAAUCUGGGGUGAGGACAGUGUCUGGUGGGUAGUUUGACUGGGGCGGUCUCCUCCCAAAGAGUAACGGAGGAGCACGAAGGUUAGCUAAUCACGGUCGGACAUCGUGAGGUUAGUGCAAAGGCAUAAGCUAGCUUGACUGCGAGAGUGACGGCUCGAGCAGGUACGAAAGUAGGUCUUAGUGAUCCGGUGGUUCUGAAUGGAAGGGCCAUCGCUCAACGGAUAAAAGGUACUCCGGGGAUAACAGGCUGAUACCGCCCAAGAGUUCAUAUCGACGGCGGUGUUUGGCACCUCGAUGUCGGCUCAUCACAUCCUGGGGCUGAAGUAGGUCCCAAGGGUAUGGCUGUUCGCCAUUUAAAGUGGUACGCGAGCUGGGUUUAGAACGUCGUGAGACAGUUCGGUCCCUAUCUGCCGUGGGCGUUGGAAGAUUGAGAGGGGUUGCUCCUAGUACGAGAGGACCGGAGUGAACGCACCACUGGUGUUCGGGUUGUCAUGCCAAUGGCAUUGCCCGGUAGCUAAGUGCGGAAAAGAUAAGCGCUGAAAGCAUCUAAGCGCGAAACUUGCCUCAAGAUGAGUCUUCCCUGGGCCUUUAAGGCCCCUGAAGGAACGUUUAAGACUAAGACGUUGAUAGGCUGGGUGUGUAAGUGCAGCGAUGCAUUGAGCUAACCAGUACUAAUGAUCCGUGAGGCUUAACCUU